AGCGAACGCUGGCGGCAGGCCUAACACAUGCAAGUCGAACGAAGUCUUCGGACUUAGUGGCGGACGGGUGAGUAACACGUGGAAAGUGCCCUUAGGGUCGGAAUAACUCAGGGGAAACUGUUCUAAUUCCGGAAGGGCCCUUCGGGGGAAAGAUUUAUCGCCUUUAGAGCGGCCCGCGUCUGAUUAGCUAGUUGGUGAGGUAAUGGCUCACCAAGGCUACGAUCAGUAGCUGGUCUGAGAGGAUGACCAGCCACAUUGGGACAUGAGACACGGCCCAAACUCCUACGGGAGGCAGCAGUGGGGAAUCUUGCGCAAUGGGCGAAAGCCUGACGCAGCCAUGCCGCGUGGAUGAUGAAGGUCUUAGGAUUGUAAAAUCCUUUCACCGGUGAAGAUAAUGACUGUAGCCGGAGAAGAAGCCCCGGCUAACUUCGUGCCAGCCGCCGCAGUAACAC
rnacentral:rRNA from 1 species